CCCUUAGAUGUCCUGGGCCGCACGCGCGCUACACUGACAUGUUCAACAAGCCUCCUAGUUCGACAGGAUUUGGGAAAUCUUUGAACGCAUGUCGUGAUAGGGAUAGAUCAUUGCAAUUAUUGAUCUUGAACGAGGAAUUCCUAGUAAACGCGAGUCAUCAGCUCGCAUUGAUUACGUCCCUGCCCUUUGUACACACCGCCCGUCGCACCUACCGAUUGAAUGUUUCGGUGAAGAUUCCGGAUAGGACUUUUUUGAUUUAUUUCGAUUUUGUCUUAAAAGCUAUCUAAACCUCAACAUUUAGAGGAAGGUGAAGUCGUAACA
rnacentral:rRNA from 1 species